rnacentral:piRNA from 1 species
UCUCAGGACCACAUGAUGGAAAGAGCAGA